AUUGAACGCUGGCGGCAGGCCUAACACAUGCAAGUCGAGCGAGCGGCGGACGGGUGAGUAAUGUCUGGGAAACUGCCUGAUGGAGGGGGAUAACUACUGGAAACGGGAGCUAAUACCGCAUACCAUCAGAUGUGCCCAGAUGGGAUUGGCUAGUCGGUGGGGUAGCGGCUCACCUAGGCGACGAUCCCUAGCUGGUCUGAGAGGAUGACCAGCCACACGGUGACUGAGACGCGGUCCAGACUGCUCAGGGAGGCAGCAGUGGGGAAUAUUGCACAAUGGGCGCAAGCCUGAUGCAGCCAUGCCGCGUGUGUGAAGAAGGCCUUCGGGUUGUAAAGCACUUUCAGCGGGGAGGCGUUACCCGCAGAAGAAGCACCGGCUAACUCCGUGCCAGCAGCCGCGGUAAUUC
rnacentral:rRNA from 1 species